CACGGGGGGAGCAAGCGUUGUUCGGAUUUACUGGGCGUAAAGAGCGCGCAGGCGGUCAGAUAAGUCGAAUGUGAAAGCCCCCGGCUCAACUGGGGAGGGUCAUUCGAUACUGUUCGACUCGAAGGCAGGAGAGGGAAGUGGAAUUCCCGGUGUAGUGGUGAAAUGCGUAGAUAUCGGGAGGAACACCAGUGGCGAAGGCGACUUCCUGGCCUGUUCUUGACGCUGAGGCGCGAAAGCUAGGGGAGCAAACGGG
rnacentral:rRNA from 1 species